rnacentral:SRP_RNA from 1 species
GCUGGGCAUGGUGGCGCAUGCCUGUAAUCCCAGCUACUUAGGAGGCUGAGGAGGGAGAAUCACUUGAACCAGGGAGGUAGAGGCUGCAGUGAGCUGAGGUCAUGCCACUGCACUCUAGCCUGGGUGACAGAGUGAGAACCUGUCUCAA